rnacentral:rRNA from 1 species
CAAAACUUUCAACAACGGAUCUCUUGGUUCUGGCAUCGAUGAAGAACGCAGCGAAAUGCGAUAAGUAAUGUGAAUUGCAGAAUUCAGUGAACCAUCGAAUCUUUGAACGCACAUUGCGCCCGCCAGCACUCUGGCGGGCAUGCCUGUUCGAGC